rnacentral:rRNA from 1 species
AUGAACUUCCAGGAUGUCGAAAUGCACCAGCAGGCGCAGGACGUCGCCCCUCCGCCUCGUCUUAUCACGGAUCAGAACCGUGCGAAGCACGCUCGGCGGCAGCGCCGCCUCCUCCUCGUCGAGGAGGACGAGCUGGCCAUGGCGGAGUGGCGCCGGCGCCACCCGGAGGACGUCGCCAACGAGGAAGCCUUCUGGGCAAGGCGCCGCGAGGAGACGGCAAAGCGCCGCGAGGAGCGGUUGGACAUGCGUAGGCGGAAGGCCCUAGCGUUAUCGCAGUGCGAAAUCGUUGAAAAUGGUGGGCAGUCGAUCUUUUCGUCAGAUGAUGAUCGUUGGGAAGACAUGUGGCUCAAUACCUCGGACCAGACCAGCAAGGAUGGCGAUGAUGAUGAUGAUGACGACUGGGAGUAG